rnacentral:rRNA from 1 species
GAUGAACGCUGGCGGCGUGCCUAAUACAUGCAAGUCGAGCGAACAGAUGAUGCUCUUGCGCCGCUCACGUUAGCGGCGGGCGGGUGAGUAACACGUGGAUAAUCUACCUAUAAGACUGGGAUAACUUCGGGAAACCGGAGCUAACCCCGGAGAAUAUAUUGAAGCGCGGGGGUGGAUAGUGAAAGACGGCUUUGGUGGCACGUAUAGAUGCAUCCGCGCCGCAUUGGGUGGUUGGUGAGGUAACGGGUUACCACGGCGACGAUGCGUAGCCGACCUGAGGGGGUGGUAGGCCACACUGGAAGUGAGACAGGGACCAGGCUCCUACGGGAGGCAGCAGUAGGGUAUCUGCCGCAAUGGGCGGAAGCCUGACGGAGCAACGCCGCGUGAGUGAUGGAGGUCUUCGGAUCGUAAUACUCUGUUAUUGGUGAAGAACAAAUGUGUAAGUAACUAAACACGUAGUGACGGUACCUAAUCAGAAAGCCACGGCUAACUACGUG